rnacentral:lncRNA from 1 species
AUUGAAGACAAAUGCUUAGAAUGGUAGUAAGUUGGGUAUGGGUCAGGUAGGCCAUUACCCGUAUCCGCUCCAUCUUCAUCUCGGGGCAGGUAGAUUUUGUGGGCUUCUUGGAGGGAUCGAGUUGAAUAAAGCUAUAAAAUUCAUUUUUUUUGUAUGCAAAUCAGACAAAUAAAAAAACUAUAAAAAUAAACAUUAGUACUUCACAUAACAUUAGAC